rnacentral:rRNA from 1 species
AACACAUGCAAGUCGAACGGUGAAGCCUCUGGCUUUUGUUGGGGGUGGAUGAGUGGCGAACGGGUGAGUAACACGUGAGUAACCUGCCCCUUUCUUCUGGAUACCGCCACGAAAGUGGUGUUAAUACGGGAUAUUCUGGCCUGUCCGCAUGGGUGGGUUGGGAAAGGUCUUUUUGUCUGGUGGGGGAUGGGCUCGCGGCCUAUCAGCUUGUUGGUGGGGUGAUGGCCUACCAAGGCGUUGACGGGUAGCCGGCCUGAGAGGGUGGACGGCCACACUGGGACUGAGACACGGCCCAGACUCCUACGGGAGGCAGCAGUGGGGAAUAUUGCACAAUGGGCGGAAGCCUGAUGCAGCGACGCCGCGUGAGGGAUGGAGGCCUUCGGGUUGUGAACCUCUUUCGCCAGUGAAGCAGGCCCGCUCCUUUUGUGGGUGGGUUGACGGUAGCUGGAUAAGAAGCGCCGGCUAACUACGUGCCAGCAG